rnacentral:rRNA from 1 species
UACGUAGGUGGAAAGCGUUGUCCGGAAUUAUUGGGCGUAAAGCGCGCGCAGGUGGUUUCUUAAGUCUGAUGUGAAAGCCCACGGCUCAACCGUGGAGGGUCAUUGGAAACUGGGGAACUUGAGUGCAGAAGAGGAAAGUGGAAUUCCAAGUGUAGCGGUGAAAUGCGUAGAGAUUUGGAGGAACACCAGUGGCGAAGGCGACUUUCUGGUCUGUAACUGACACUGAGGCGCGAAAGCGUGGGGAGCGAACAGG